rnacentral:rRNA from 1 species
GAUUUGUUGGGCGUCGAGCGGCGGACGGGUGAGUAAUGCCUGGGAAAUUGCCCUGAUGUGGGGGAUAACCAUUGGAAACGAUGGCUAAUACCGCAUAACGUCUACGGACCAAAGAGGGGGACCUUCGGNCCUCUCGCUUCAGGAUAUGCCCAGGUGGNAUUAACUAGUUGGUGAGGUANUGGCUCACCAAGGCGACGAUCCCUANCUGGUCUGAGAGGAUGAUCAGCCACACUGGAACUGANACACGGNCCAGACUCCUANGGNAGGCNNCAGUGGGGAAUAUUGCACAAUGGGCGCAAGCCUGAUGCAGCCAUGCCGNGUGUAUGAAGAAGGCCUUCGGGUUGNAAAGUACUUUCAGUCGUGANG